rnacentral:rRNA from 1 species
CUACGGGAGGCUGCAGUGGGGAAUAUUGCACAAUGGGCGCAAGCCUGAUGCAGCCAUGCCGCGUGUAUGAAGAAGGCCUUCGGGUUGUAAAGUACUUUCAGCGGGGAGGAAGGGAGUAAAGUUAAUACCUUUGCUCAUUGACGUUACCCGCAGAAGAAGCACCGGCUAACUCCGUGCCAGCAGCCGCGGUAAUACGGAGGGUGCAAGCGUUAAUCGGAAUUACUGGGCGUAAAGCGCACGCAGGCGGUUUGUUAAGUCAGAUGUGAAAUCCCCGGGCUCAACCUGGGAACUGCAUCUGAUACCGGCAAGCUUGAGUCUCGUAGAGGGGGGUAGAAUUCCAGGUGGAGCGGUGAAAUGCGUAGAGAUCUGGAGGAAUACCGGUGGCGAAGGCGGCCCCCCUGGACGAAGACUGACGCUCAGGUGUGAAAGCGUGGGGAGCAAACAGGAUUAGAUACCCGAGUAGUC